ensembl:lncRNA
GCCGCCUGGCGGUAGGAAUGCAGCCGGCGCUCCCUCUGCGACCCGAGCGGCUCCCGGCCCUCCGGCAGCGCUGCGACCUCGCAUCUCCGGGGAGCAUCGCUGGAAUUCCCGGAGUUUUCCUUACAAAAAGGCUUCACUCUGCGCAAGGAAACAGCAGAGCCCUUCCCCCAGGCUUACUGCAGAGGUUGGAUCUUGCUGCCACCGCUGUUGAGAUGAAUGGGCAGCGCAAGGAAUUGAUGCUCGCUGCUGUUUCCAAAGUGAAGGAGGGUUUUUUAAAGCAGAGCACGUGAGCAAAGAUGUCAGAUAGCCUGCAGUUAGAUCUUAUCAGCCAGAGCUGAAUUAAUCAUGGGCUGAGCGUUAUAACUGAAGGGAAUCGCUCAAACUGUGAGGGCAUGCUGCUACUCAGCUCGGUGCGAACUAAAGAACGAGGAGGAAUGAAAGGCGACCUCUGAUGAAGGCUGUAUUCAGCAUAUUAUCAGUGCCUCAGGGGACGGAAGAACCCAACGGAUCCUCCUUUAAGAACGAAAAGAUGCAGAUGUGAUGCAAGCUCAGCAAAAUCCCCGUGAUAAAUGGAGCCCCUUCCUAAUGGCUUACUUAUUUUAUCACUGGUUGCUGAACCGGUGCCUGCUUUACAGAUCUUCACAGAGUUUUACACACAUAUAUAAUGUACAUAUAUCUGGAUGAUCUGUAUACGUACAGUGAAAAUCAAUAUGUAAUCAAAGUCUAGUAUACCUGCAUACAUCUGGUUAAGAGUCCCUGCAUUUAGGGUUGAGAGGGUCACGGGAAGAUGGAAUGGUGAUCAUGAGAGCACUUUGGGAGGAGUUUGAAUUCAUUUUCACUGGAGAAAAAGAAGCAUUCUGCAGGUAACAGCUGGCAGCGUUAACCUAUUGUCAACACUGUCAGAAAUGAGAGGAGAUUUUUCUGUUUGUUUUAGUAAUAACCUAUGCACAGGCCCUGAUAAGUCCUGGACAACAGACAGCACUGUGUGUUCUUGAGCAGCCACUUCCUUCUUUGGCAGAAGUUAACAAUUACAGACCAGUAGUUUCCUAAUAAGACUUCAAACGGCACUCGAAUUAAAGAUAACUCCGUGAGGAUGUUUGGUUGACAGCCAUGGUGGUAUUCAUCUCACAGGGGCUGUGAGCACCCAGAAGCCCUCCGGUCGCUCUCAGUGCAGCCCUGCCCUGCGAAGCCUGGCAGCCACCCCAGCAGACAAUUACCAGUUUGGGGAUGCCAGAGCACUGAAGUCCUGUUUGGCUGCCUCUGCCCAGGCAACAUCCUUAUGGGACUGGAUUGUAUCAGCAAAUGAUGAGCAGGCACAUGGAUUGGGUUAAUUCUUUUUCAGUGUGCUGUUCCUCCUGCUGCCAAGAGCUCAAUUGUUGCACAGAUACUGGAGAUCUAUUGCCUAUUCAGAAGGCAGGGUGAAUUAUUCUUUGGUAUUUGCAGAACUAUGGCAACAGCCAAAAAUGUAAGAGGUGUAUUCGGGAUGAGAUGACCAAGAGAGUGAACAAAGCAAGCAAGCUGUUACAAGUAAUCUCUGAAACUGCGUGGGACAUCGCAACGUCUGGGAUGUCUGCUGGCACUGCAGAAAAGGACCGGAUUGCGAUGGGAGCUUCCCAGUACAGAGAGCUGAGCUCCUGUGUGCUGUGUCUGGUCCUGCUUUGCCACGCUGGACCCAGAUGAAAGCUGCUCCCAUCACACAGCAGAUGAAUACCAACUUGCGGCAUAGCGAGGACACCACCAGACAAAGCACAGAGCUCCUGGGCAGCGUCCCAGCUCUGAGCAGUGUGCAGCAGGCAGGUGGCUGCUGAGAAGUGGGAUUCCUUAGGUGUGGUGCAGCCGCAUCCACGUGCUGGCACUGCCCAUCCUGCUUGUUGACAUUGCAUGCGCAAAUCACAGGUGUGACAUCCGUAUGUUUCCUAAACAAUGUGUUGAAAGCAUGGUGGCUCGGGAGGGAUUUGUACAGCAGAGAGCAAGU